GGCCGGCGGUGCCGCUGCCUUCCUCGCGGAGUCCACGCCCGAAUUUCACGUCGGGAGUACUGGUCUCCGUCUCUCCAACUCCUCCCUCGAGCCUACCUCCCGAGCAACCUUCCUCCCGUCCCAAUUCCAGGAGACGCAUGGCGACAGAGUGCGGGCCUCCGCAACAUCCCCUCCCUUCUGCUCCCCCUUCUUCUUCCCUUGAACUGGAUCCGUCCUCCAUCGCCGACCGCCGCCACUCCCGUCUCUAGCAGCCCCUACAUCCCUAACCUUGAGUAGCGUCCCCACAGGCCACAGAUAUUGGUCAUGGGAGCAUGUGAGAUGGCGGCUACAGUGGAAUAGAAGAACCUUGGAGAGGUGCCAGUGGGCAGCGGCGGCGGCUCAGUCGUACUCAACAUCGUCGGCGAACAGCCUCCCCGUCUCUGCGCCACAUCCACAUCUCCCGCAUUUGCUGUCGUCGCUCCUCCAUCUGCAUCACUGACAGAAUGGCCUUCUGGAUGGUCUUUGGUUUGUGGGUGACAUGUUGUGGAAUUGGAGCCGGGUACAUGUGCCAGAUCGUUUAUACACAAAUUGCAGACGGAUGCAUGACAAAUUUGGUGUGCAGGAUAUAUGCAACUUGCAUACGGAUCAGUCAAACCAUGUGCUAAGCUUCAGAGCCACUCCACGCUCGAGGGUGAGGUAUUCAUGCUUUGUUGCCUGCUUUUCUUAUACUAGGACCUGGUCCUAAGCUCGACUCUCUCCCUCAUCUUCAUGUGCUCUAUAUUUGGUACUAUAGCUGGGACGCCAUACCAGGCAAUGUGCGGCACCUCACAUUGCUCAUGGAAUUAGAGAUGCUGGAUGUUGGAAUAUCCGUUCGCUUUCAACACUAUCCCGGUCUCUUGAGCUGUUUCAUCUUUAUUCUUGUGAUGGUGACUUAAUGAAGUACUGUCAAACAGUGGGACAUCCAAACUGGGAGAAAAUUGAGCAUAUCCCCAGGAAUUUUUUUGAAGACUGGGUUCAAGUAAGGAAGUACGCGUGAUGUUAGUCAUCGCAAGACAGUGAAGGUCAUUCCAGCAAGUUGGUUCAAAUGAAGGAGUUGCAAGCUCAAAUUAUGAUGCUGGGCAUUCAACUAUUAUUGUAGCAGUCUGCUUGUUGUGAUUUGCAGUACCCUUUUUUACAUGAAUUAGUUGUGUCGUUCAA